AAGUCGUAACAAGGUUUCCGUAGGUGAACCUGCGGAAGGAUCAUUAACAAAAAUUUAAGAAGGUGGUGGUGAGUGCUUACUUGGAUGUGCUAACGUCUUGGUAGUACGGGCCAACAUCUUGAACCUUUGUGAAUUGGGCAAAGUAAAUUUUCAAGAGGUUCACUUUGCUUAGACGGGGAAGCGGAUUUAUAUGUAUAUGUAUAUGUAUAUGUAUAUAUAUGUAUAUGUAUAUGAACUAAGAAGAUGCACUAGCAUUUAUAUUAUUCAUAUUCAUAUUAAUAUUUUUAAUGUCUAAUUUUUCAUUUCUUGUUGAAAGACAGAAAUCAAUAAUCAAAACAACUUUUAACAAUGGAUCUCUAGGCUCUU
rnacentral:misc_RNA from 1 species